GACGAACGCUGGCGGCGUGCCUAACACAUGCAAGUCGAACGGGGUGAUUUCCUUCGGGAGAUCACUUAGUGGCGAACGGGUGAGUAACGCGUGAGAAACCUGCCUUUCAGUGGGGGACAACAGUUGGAAACGACUGCUAAUACCGCAUAAUGUAUUUUAGGGGCAUCCCUUGAAUACCAAAGCUUUAUGUGCUGAAAGAUGGUCUCGCGUCUGAUUAGCUAGUUGGUGAGGUAACGGCUCACCAAGGCGACGAUCAGUAGCCGGUCUGAGAGGAUGAACGGCCACAUUGGGACUGAGAUACGGCCCAG
rnacentral:rRNA from 1 species